ensembl:lncRNA
CAAACUUCCGUAGGACUUUUAUAGGAACAUUCUGGGCUUUUUCGUGUUAUGUUGUGUCUGGCUUCGCAUCGCCACAUGCCUUGUAAUGACCUUCUGCUGACAAAUAAAAACUCCUCGUUUUAUUUUACGACAAUAUGAUAUUAAAUCAAGGUAAAAUGUUGGCAAGUAUAAUCGGACGUCACAUUCUUCGUAACUUUGGGGGAAUGCAGUGGAGUGGCCUCAUGCAGGUGUCCAGGAAGUUUGCCUGUUUAGGGCAGCGGACCACUCACUGUUCAACACUGUUUACUAGAGGUUUAUAUGGACAGCUGCCCCCAAGACAUGUUGCUGGUUCUGUUUUGGGAGCAUUUCACUGGUCUGCACAUAGACUGAAGAAACGUCCUCAGGAAGAGAG